rnacentral:rRNA from 1 species
AUGGCGCGGCCUGACUGCCCGGACAAGUGUGGUAGCGUCAGCAUCCCGUACCCGUUCGGCACCGGAAAAGGCUGCUUCCAAGAACCCUUUGAUGUCACAUGCAAUGCCACUGGGCCAUAUCUAGCUUCAACCAGAGUUAGGAUACUGGACAUCAAUCUUGCCAUGGGUGAGAUUCGUGUUCUGAACCCACAUAUAGCAUGGGAAUGUAACUACACCAACGGCACCAAUAGCAGCGGUUCGGAUGGCUUAACCCUUGAUCCUUUUCAUAAGCUUUCCAACACCAAGAACAAGUUGAUAUCGAUCGGUUGUGCUACACUUGGAUUGAUCUUAGGAGCCACCAAGGGCAAGAACCAGCUUGAGUUCCCCAUUGUUAACACAUGCUUUUCAUUCUGCACUGACGCAAGCAGCGUGGAUGAUAGCAAGGAGUGCAUUGGCAUGGGUUGCUGUCAAACCCCUUUUCCAGGAAACAUCAGCUCCUUCAACACCGGAUCUGCACCAUUGCCAUCUUUAUACAACUCUACAAACCAGUCUUUCAGCCCGUGCAGCUACUCAUUUGUCACUGAGGAGGACUGGUUCAAGUUUGAUCGUUCAUAUGUCAGCUCUACAAAUUUCGCAACUAAAUAUACAGAUGGGGUCCCUUUGGUACUAGAUUGGGUUGUUGGUAAUAAAAGUUGUUCGGAAGCCACCAAAAUGGGGUCACAGUAUGCCUGUCAAGCCAAGAACAGUCAAUGCAUUAAUGUGUCCAAUGGCCCUGGAUACCGCUGCAACUGCUCUCAAGGUUAUGAGGGCAAUCCCUAUCUACAAGGAGGGUGCCAAGACAUCAAUGAGUGUGAACCUCCAAACCAGUCGUUGUAUCCUUGCCAAGGUAAAUGCACAAAUACCGUUGGAAACUACACCUGUUUCUGCCCAUCAGGAUUCAGGAGCGAUGAUCCAAAGAGCAUACCCUGCGUUCCAGCUGACCCAAAGAAAGCUCUUAAGGUGGUCUUAGGCAUAUCCUUCAGUGCCAUCUUCCUCAUGGUUUGUAUCUUUGCUCUACGGGCUGAGUACCAGAAAAGGAAGCUUGCGAAGGAGAAGGACAAGUUCUUUGAUCAGAAUGGUGGUCAGAUAUUAUAUCGCCAAAUUAUGUCAAAACAAGUCGACACACUGAAGAUAUUCACUCAAGAAGAUCUGAAGAAGGCUACAAACGACUUUGACAAGAGCAGAGAACUGGGCAGGGGUGGACAUGGCACUGUCUACAAGGGCAUUCUGAAGGAUGACAGGGUAGUGGCCGUGAAACGCUCAAAGAUAAUGAACGUGACCGAAACUGAUGAAUUUGUGCAGGAGAUUAUUAUACUUUCACAGACCAACCACCGGAAUGUGGUCAGGCUUCUAGGGUGCUGCUUAGAGGUGGAAGUCCCCAUACUGGUCUAUGAAUUCAUCCCAAAUGGCACUUUGUUUGAGUUCAUCCAUCGUAGCUAUGGGAGUCCACCUCCCUCACUGGACACCCGUCUCAGGGUUGCUCAAGAAUCCGCCGAAGCAUUGGCGUAUCUGCAUCUGUCCAUGAACCACCCUAUAGUGCACGGGGAUGUCAAGUCUAUGAACAUUCUCUUGGACGAGAACUACAUGGCGAAGGUGACUGACUUUGGGGCAUCAAGGACACUCCCCAAGGACGCGGCCCAGUUCAUGACACUGGUCCAGGGCACCCUGGGUUACCUGGACCCUGAGUACCUGCAGGAGCGGCAGCUGACAGAGAAGAGCGACGUCUACAGCUUCGGGGUCGUGCUUCUGGAGCUGAUCACGGGGAAGACGGCGAUCUACAACGACGGGCCCAAGGAAGGCAAGAGCCUCGUGUGGUCCUUCCUGCUCGCGAUGAAGGAGGACAGCCUUGAGGACAUCCUGGACCCGAGCAUCGUGCGUGCAGGGACGGAGACGCUGCUGGGGGAAGUGGCCGAGCUGGGGAGGAUGUGCUUGGGCCCCAUCGGUGAAGAGAGGCCUUCCAUGACCCAGGUGGCUGACAGGCUGAAGGCUCUGCGAAGCACCUGGAGGGAAGAGCUUGUGCUGGAUCGUGCCGUAACGGAACAUAUGGUUGUGCACAUGCCACCUGUGGCAGCUCCGAUGCCUUGGGAUCUCGCCUCGUCGUCGUCGGGUGCCCCCUCGACGGUGCCGUACAUGUCCGGAAUGGGCAUAGAGGCGCCCAGAUGA